AAAGGCACAGUCACACCGCUCCUGUCCUGACGUGAUGGGAAACUUGGAGAGAAGCCUUUUAUUGUGAUACAAGGAAGUGGUGUUUGAGGAAAUGAUGAGUACAGGAUACUGGGCUGGAGCUUUUCACUUACAUAUUGGAUAUCAUACCUGCAACUCCUAAACCGAUCGGUACGUCAUCCUAUUUGGGGUGUUGAUCAAUUGUUGCCAAAUUUACAUCAGCAGGAUUAGCAAAUCUCCCACACCCAUCCACCGUGGCUGAGGUGCAUAGUCACACUCGCCUGCACAGCAGAGAGGUGUGAUUCAUUUGGUUGAAAGCUCUCCAAGUCCUAAAGUAGAAGAUGAGUGGUUGUAGUUGUCUGCACCCAGAGACAGACUCAGAGGAUGAGUACAACAGGGUUAGUCCUGAAAAAGAGCUAACAGAGGAGGUGGUGAAAAAGGUGGAUGGAGAUGUGAUCCUGACGGCAGCCGUUGCAGGUGCAGCAUACAGAGCUCAGAACAAUCGUGAUCGUGAAAAAGAACGGCAAAAAAUAAGGGAGCGUGAAAAGAAGCGAGAUCAUGAAAAACAGAAAGAAAGAGAGAAAAAUGCGGAAAGGGAAAAAGAGAGAAGAAGGCAAAGAGAAAGACAGAAACAAGCAGAGAAACAGAGACAGAAACAGGCUGGCAAAAGUAGGCAGAAACAAGCAGAAAAACAAAAAAAAAAAAAAUAGGAAAAUUGUUAGCAUACAAUUUCUAUUGGUUGUGUAUUGUAGCAAAAAUA